GGCGCACGGGUGCGUAACGCGUAUACAAUCUGCCUUUCACAUAGGGAUAGCCCGAAGAAAUUUGGAUUAAUACCUAAUGGUAUAUAAGAGCGGCAUCGUCUUUAUAUUAAAGCUACGGUGGUGAAAGAUGAGUAUGCGUUCUAUUAGCUAGUUGGAGAGGUAACGGCUCCCCAAGGCGACGAUAGAUAGGGGUUCUGAGAGGGAUGUCCCCCACACUGGUACUGAGAUACGGACCAGACUCCUACGGGAGGCAGCAGUGAGGAAUAUUGGACAAUGGUCGGAAGACUGAUCCAGCCAUGCCGCGUGCAGGAUGAAGGUCCUAUGGAUUGUAAACUGCUUUUGUAAGGGAAGAAUAAGGGGUACGUGUACUUUGAUGACGGUACCUUACGAAUAAGCAUCGGCUAACUCCGUGCCAGCAGCCGCGGUAAUACGGAGGAUGCGAGCGUUAUCCGGAAUCAUUGGGUUUAAAGGGUCCGUAGGCGGGCUGAUAAGUCAGAGGUGAAAGCGCUUAGCUCAACUAAGCAACUGCCUUUGAAACUGUCAGUCUUGAAUGAUUGUGAAGUAGUUGGAAUGUGUAGUGUAGCGGUGAAAUGCUUAGAUAUUACACAGAACACCCGAUAGCGAAGGCAUAUUACUAACAAUUUAUGACGCUGAUGGACGAAAGCGUGGGGAGCGAACAGGAUUAGAUACCCUGGUAGUCCACGCUGUAAACAUGGAUACUAGCUGUUUGGAGCAUCUGAUGGCU
rnacentral:rRNA from 1 species